GACGGUGUAGAUUGUGUGGAUGAACCACUCCCGACCUGCAGCCACCUGGAACAACAAGACACAGUGGAGCUUGAGUUUACAGACCAUAUUAGGUAUGAAUAGAGUCAGAGAGCCUCUCUGGGUGUGUCAGCUGACCUGGAAGAGAGGUGAGGAGGACAGGGUGAAUCCGUCUGAACCAGGCUGUCUGACCAGAGGCAGGCCUCCAGGAGUGUCCAGGGCCAGAGUGGCCUCAAA